UUUGUAUCAGACAGGCAAAUGGAUUUAACCCACAGAGUCUCCAGUUUUCUUUUCCGUCUCUAGUUUUGGUUCCUACCUUGAUCGAUUGACCAGUGAAAGUUGUGACCACAGUGUGGGUUUUGGGUUUUCUCAAGGUCUAUUACAUGAUCGGCAUCAUAUGUUUGCUUCUAGCUUGUGAGAGAUUUCAGAUUUUGCUUCACUGAUCUGUGUAUUGGGUUCGUGGUAUUUUCAGGUGCUUGAACAGAGAACUUAGAAGGGAUAUGUUGUAUAUCUCUAGGAGCUGUUGGUUAUUGUGAUAUUUGUUGUUCUGGGGUUUUUUGGGUUCUCAAAGGUGACUGUAAAGUCUUUUAUAAGUAAAAAGUUUUGGACUUUUUUUUUUUUUGGAUAGCUGAUUCAUUGUAUUUAGCUUUUGGCUUUGAGAUCGAGGUGGCAAUGAAGACGAAAAGCGUUUCACUCCUUGGGUUUUAAACAUCUGUGGGUUGUAGAUAUGGGCAUUUGAUUUAGGGUUUCGGAAAGAUGGGAGCAUGUGGUGAUGCGAUUCAGGUAGAUACAUGGAAUGUCGGAAAAUAAAUGGAAGGAAGAAGAAGAAGAUGACGAGACAAAGGACACUGGGUAGUGGUUCACGUUCAGAUUCAUUGUGAGCUCCAUCUCAAGAUCCAAAGUAGAUUGGAGAUCCACUUUGGAUCUUGAGAUGCAGCUCCCAGUAACCCUGAACCUGAACCAACACCCAGUGUCCUUUGUCUGGUCUUGUUUCUUCUUCCUUCCCUUGGAUAUGAUUUUUCGACAUUCCAUGUCUCUAGACUCUCCACCUGAUAGCAUCAUCAUAUGCUUCCAUUUUUUCGAAACCCUAAAUCAAAUUUCCAUGUCUACAAAACCCACAAAUGUUCAAAACCCAUGGAAUUAAACACUUUUGGUCUUCACUGCCACCCCGAUAUCUCGAAGCCAAAAACUAAUAGGUCUGUUUAAAUGUAACCAACUAUGUUUCAAUUGAACUUGUAACCUAAUAUACAAUGGAACUUCUCUCUUACAUUAAUGAUUCAUAACGAAUUCCUCCAA